rnacentral:rRNA from 1 species
UACGGAGGGUGCAAGCGUUACUCGGAAUUACUGGGCGUAAAGCGUGCGUAGGUGGUUUUUUAAGUCCGUUGUGAAAGCCCUGGGCUCAACCUGGGAAUGGCAGUGGAUACUGGAAAGCUAGAGUGCGGUAGAGGGUAGUGGAAUUCCCGGUGUAGCAGUGAAAUGCGUAGAGAUCGGGAGGAACACCAGUGGCGAAGGCGGCUACCUGGACCAGAACUGACACUGAGGCACGAAAGCGUGGGGAGCAAACAGG